AUGUUGAGGACGGCGGAGGGCGGACUCCUGCAUCUGCCGAAGUGAUCGCGUCACCACAGGACCGAAGGGUGGCGGCAUUCAAAUCAGCGAAGGAGCGGUGACUCAUCUGUUGCCCUCGCACCACUGCACCUCUUGUGUUUUCAUUCAUUGCAGUACUCUCUCGCAUGUCAGUGCGGCUGCUGCUCGGUGCGGGCCUGGCAUACGCCCGUCGGCUACCCCUGGCACCGUCGCCGAUACUGUCCUGCUGCGCCCCACACCUCCACACGGGUGUCUUGUGGUCGCUGACGGAGGGAGCGCGUGCGGCGCACACCGGCUCCAAGGAGGCAGGGUACUAUCGGCUGCAGAACCCAAAGCACAUCAACAUCGACCCCUGCGUCUACGAGAUUCGCACUAUGCGCGGCAGUGGCCCAGGUGGCCAAGGCACGAAUAGCAGCAGUAACAAGGUGGAGCUGCGCGCGGACAUGGAGCUCCUGUCCGAGUUCUUCGACGACGAGCUACUUGCCGCACUGCGCCGCCACGAGGCUGGCGGAGCGCUCACCAGUGACGGGACAACGAUUGUCGUGAGCUGCCACGAGCACCGUAGCGCCUUGCAAAACAAAGAGGGCUGCUUGCGCAAGCUGCAGACGCUUCUGCACAAAGCAUCGUGGGUGCCACCGGCGGAGGCCGGCCUCGUCGAGCGGCCAUCCUUCAUCGUCACAGAGCAGAAGGCUAGGCGACGCAAGAAGAGCAACAUGAACCGCAUGACCCGCUCCGCGCGUAGUGGGUCGUGGUGAGAUAAGGCGGUUCGGCGAGGGGGAGGGGCUGCUGGUGGAAACGUUCGGUGCUGCGCCGUGUGCGUGUAUACGGGAGUAUGCAGUUUUGGCCAAUCCCUUUCCCACGGCUGGGGCACUGCCUACCAUUGCACAAUGAUGCGCUUGCCAAGUGUUGUGCCCCCUCCGUGGAUGCCACGCUCUUCUUCUUGCUCUCUCUCGCCCUGCGCCACGGCGACGGGCUUCACCGUCUUUCUGCUCGACUCUUCCUCGAUUUACACAAGCACCGCGGGAGCAGCGGAUACGUUGCUACUUGAGGCAGGUGGGACGAUAACCCCUCCUCCCUCCUCCUCAUUCCGCCUUCCUCUUUCAUCGACACGGCGUACAGCGGCGGCUGACACAACAUGCCAGGGACAUGACUGCCCUUGCCCCGCUCUUUCGUCUUGCUCAAUCUCUCUCUCUCUGCAUUCACCAGACAUAUCUACAGCCACACCUAUACAGGCUUGGGCUGGCGAAGAGACGCGCCUCAUCGCAUAAAACGGUCUGCACUCAGCUCGACCUUUACCGCAAAGCGGCGGGCUGCCAGCCGAUUCCGCUGUCGCCGAUGGACGUUGAACACCCUGGCAGUGCGCUCAUCCGCCAUUUAUGGCACUGCUUGCGGCUCCACUCUUCUCAAAUUUGUUUCCUCUUCCAGAUCUCUCCUCUCUCUCUCUCUGCAACUGCUCCGCUUCCUCUUUGCAUUCCUCACACGUGGACGCUUCUCACUCGAAACAUCACUUCCACGCCAG
rnacentral:misc_RNA from 1 species